rnacentral:rRNA from 1 species
UGCGCAGGCGGGCUUGUAAGUCAGUGGUGAAAUCUUGCCGCUUAACGGUAAAAUUGCCAUUGAUACUGCAAGUCUUGAAUAUGGUUGAGGUAGGCGGAAUGUGUCGUGUAGCGGUGAAAUGCAUAGAUAUGACACAGAACACCAAUUGCGAAGGCAGCUUACUAAGCCAUUAUUGACGCUGAGGCACGAAAGCGUGGGGAGCGAACAGGAUUAGAUACCCAGGUAGUCC